rnacentral:rRNA from 1 species
UACGAAGGGGGCUAGCGUUGUUCGGCAUUACUGGGCGUAAAGCGUGCGCAGGCGGCUUCUCAAGUCAGGGGUGAAAGCCCAGAGCUCAACUCUGGAAUUGCCUUUGAGACUGAGUGGCUUGAGUACGAGAGAGGUGAGUGGAAUUCCCAGUGUAGCGGUGAAAUGCGUAGAUACUGGGAGGAACACCAGUGGCGAAGGCGGCUACCUGGACCGGUUCUGACGCUGAGGCGCGAAAGCGUGGGUAGCAAACAGG